GAAGAUCACUGUUUGAAGUCAAGUGAGGCAGAAAAAUCCAAGAUGUAUGUGUUCAAGAGGUAGAGCAACCAGAGGAGCAAAUAAGCCAUGCAAGGAUGAGGCUGUGAGUUCAAAUCUCAGUAACGGGAGGGGAGAGGCAGCAGAAUUAAAGUCUCAACUGUAGCUGUGUACUACAGAUGAAAAGAAGAAAAAGGCCUUCAUACUUCAUAAAAAUAACCAAAAGCAUAACUACCUCCAUGCUUCUUAUCAUUAUCUUUCAUCAAUUAAACGGUCUCCAUUUACUAUUAUGUGAUCUAAGCAGACAGUGAGAGAAGAGAUAUUUACACAGACAGAUAAAGGAAGGGAGGAGAAAACCACCUCUUUUAAUUAUUUCUCUCAGAGACUAGAGGGAAGGAAAAGUUAACGCCAUCAUUUGGAACUUUUACUACCUUUGGAUUUAGAACCCAGGAAAACAUGCAGGAACACAUACCCACAGCUGGUUCUGAUGUGUAACUAAUACCUGAGAUAAUCAACUUACACUGGCUUAUAGUUUUACAGGUCCAUAAUAAGCCAGGCCUGGUUGCUUUGGGUGAAGCAACAUGUCAUGGUGGGGGUACCAUAGCCAAGAAGUGAAAACGGAGAGGAAGAAGUUGCAGCCCUUACUGUCCCACAGUACACCUUGAACCCUGAAGACCUCCGACUAGAGCACACCUCUUAAAAGUUCUAUCCCUUCCCAAUGAGUCAAGGUGGGAACCAAGCUUUAAACACAUGACCCUUUCAGUCCUAUUGCUAAUUUAUUGCUAUUUGAGAUGGUUCCCUUUGUUGCUAUAGGAGCCUCCAUGUGUCAAUGGAUUCUGAGAACUACUUGCCUCAUUGUCACUUCCAGUCUCUUAUUGUUAUAAGGUACUAACACUCUACACUGUUCAUGGAGUCCAAUGAGAUGUAAGAAGAGCAUAAUUUUACUUCAGAGAACACAAUGCUGGGCUUGAUCAGGACAAAGUAUAAUAGAAAAGCCCUGGGAAAAUUAUGAGGACUCUUUCCCCUCUCUGUCUGGCCCCCUUAUUAAUGUCUGAAUUAGAUUCACUCCCUAGAAGCAUACUUUUUAAAGAGUACAGAAAAAUAUUGUUGCUAAUAGCAGACAAAUUUGUGCUCUUAUGUAAUAAUACUAGAGCCAGGCAAUGGUUUAAACAUUUUUUGUUAUCAGCAUGAGAUAAAAUUUCCUCAAAUAGUGAUUCUCAAAGGCUUUGGUCAUAGAACAUACUUAUAAAUAUGAAACAAUCAAAAUAAAAUGAAGAAACAAAACCAGGCUUUAUUGACCCAUCACCUCAACUGGCACAGUGGCGUCACCCCUCUCUAAUAGUCUCCAAAAAUUUAAAAACUACUCACUGCCUCAGAUGCUGAUUUUUACUAACAGAAGCAUUAGUCCUUUCUUUCUUAUUUGAUUGUAAUAAGCUAUGAUUUAGCCAGAGAUGGGUCAAAUCAGAAUACAAAAUAACUUCCAUCACAGAAAUGUGAUAUUAAGUCCUAUUGUGAUAUUAAAGUCCUAUUGUCCUAAAAUAUAGACACUAGUAAAGUAAUACCCUAUUAUGAUGUAGAUAGGUCACUCAAUAUUUCUCAAGUGCAGAAAAAUAAAAAAAGAAUAUAUCAACAAAAAUUAAAAAGAUCAUAAGAUAUUAUGCAGGUGUGGCUCUUGU